UGGGAAUAACUGCUACGAAAGAGUAGCUAACUACCCCAUAGUAUCCGGUUUAUCCGGAUUAAAGAUUUUAUCGCUUUGGGAGGGCCUGCGUCUGAUUAGCUAGUUGGUGAGGUAAAAGCUCACCAAGGCGACGAUCAGUAGCUGGUUCGAGAGGAUGACCAGCCACACUGGGACUGAGAUACGGCCCAGACUCCUACGGGAGGCAGCAGUGAGGAAUUUUCCACAAUGGCGCAAGCCUGAUGGAGCAAUACCGCGUGCAGGAAGACGCUUUUCGGAGUGUAAACUGCUUUUGCCGUCGAAGAUUAUGACUGUAGACGAAGAAUAAGGACCGGCUAACUACGUG
rnacentral:rRNA from 1 species